CGCGGCACCACAAGAACGCGUGGAGCAUGUGGCUUAAUUUGACUCAACGCGGGAAAUCUUACCGGGUCCGGACACACUGAGGAUUGACAGGCAAUAUUAAUUUCGAAUUUCGGUUCGUUAUUAUGUUAAAUAUGCUAGUCCUUUCAUGAUUAUGUGAUAGGUGGUGCAUGGCCGUUCUUAGUUCGUGGAGUGAUCUGUCUGCUUAAUUGCGUUUCACUAAGGGCCUAUAAAUUUACGUGUGUUGCGGCACUUUGACCCCUCUUAUUUAUUUAAGAGCGCGCGUCUUAGUUUGCUUAGCUCACACAAUUAGGUCCUGAAAGCAACGAACGUGACCGCAACCUCUUGUUGCCUUUAUACCAAACAUGUUAUGGAUUUAUUCAUUUCAUGAAAAAAGGCUUUUUAAACUAGAGGGACCGCUGUUACUUUCUUAAACCAGAGGAAGGUUGCGGCAAUAACAGGUCUGUGAUGCCCUUAGAUGUUCCGGGCUGCACACGUGCUACAAUGAUUAUUGCAGUGAGCAUCUCAUUUUUUACACACCGCAUACGCGAGUCCAUUUAUUUCAUCUUUCGGGGUGCUUUUAAAUGUGUAUCUCUGCGAGCGGUAAAGCCUGCUUCGAAAGUAAGUGGGUAAUCAAUUAGAAGUAAUGAUUUCCUUUUUUUAGCACACAUAUAUACGGCGUUUAUACCCGGGCUGCCUUGUUGUAGCUUUUGUGCGUAUAGAUGUUUUUUCCGUAUGUGCGAUUGUCAAUUCAUGGUGGGGACAGACCAUUGUUAAUUGUUGGUCUCGGUCUUAACUAGGAAUGCCUUGUACGGGUCUUUGGUUCAACAAACCACCCGGAAUACGUCCCUGCCCUUUGUACACACCGCCCGUCGCUCUUACCGAUGGACUUCUCUGUGAGUUUGAGGGACUGGGAACGCAUGAUUUAUCACGCACACCUAUGGAAACUUAAACGAACAGUGUGGUCUAAAGGAAAGAGAAGUCGUAACAAGGCAUCGGUAGGUGAACCUGCAGAAGGAUCA
rnacentral:rRNA from 1 species